GACGAACGCUGGCGGCGUGCUUAACACAUGCAAGUCGUACGGUAAGGCCCUUUCGGGGGUACACGAGUGGCGAACGGGUGAGUAACACGUGAGUAACCUGCCCACAACUUUGGGAUAACGCUAGGAAACUGGAGCUAAUACUGUAUAUGUGCUCCUGCUGCAUGGUGGGGGUUGGAAAGCUCCUGCGGUUGUGGAUGGACUCCCGGCCUAUCAGCUUGUUGGUGGGGUAGUGGCCUACCAAGGCGGCGACGGGUAGCCGGCCUGAGAGGGUGACCGGCCACAUUGGGACUGGGAUACAGUCCAGACUCCGACGGGAGGCAGCAGUGGGGAAUAUUGCACGAAGGGCGCAAGCCGGAUGCAGCAACGGCGCGGGCGGGAUGACGGCCUUCGGGUUGUAAAACGCUUUCAGCAGGGACGGAGCUGUUUGUGACGGUACCUGCAGAAGAAGCACCGGCUAACUACGUG
rnacentral:rRNA from 1 species